UCUUAGAAGGGGAAAAAAAAGUCAAAGUCAGAGUGCCCUGGUGAUAAAGAAGUUGAGGCUGCCAAGAGCCAAAUGACCCUUCCUAAGGAAUGUGGUGGAAAAGGUGACCUUUCUAGAGAUGGUUGGCCCCAAGAGACAUCUGAGGUCCUAAAGGCAGAAGUCACCAGGAACUCAGAAUUCUAGCUCCAAGUUCUCUGAGGUCACGCAGUGAGCGGAUUCUCCAGCACGCACAGUUCUGGUUUCUCAUUCUCUAAGGCCACAGAGCAGUGACCAGGAUGUCAGGGGGCGUUUUGUCCCACCUCCAACCCUCGGGCUACAGCAGCUUGUUCUCAACUCGCCCCUUUCACAGUUGACUCUUCUCCAGUGGUUGUUAAGCGGAGUUUUCCACCAGGCAGAGGGAGAGAAAGAGCUUCUCGGACCUUCAAAACCUUGCCUGAGGCCCUAACCCGAGUCCUACAGUGGAAAGUCUUCCUUCAGUGAGGAAACAACAGCCAGGUCGCCACCACGAUUACACUACGCUGAACAUCACCUGAGAGCAACAGAAGCUGGUCUGUGGGCCAAUGAGCCAGGGUCCAUCUGGCUCACUACUGCAUCUCCAGGGCCAGCACAGUGCCUGGUACAUGGCCUUAUAUAACCCACAGACCAGAUGCUCCCCACGCCUGUUCUAAGAAGAGAAAAUAAGGACACAGACAACAAGGACACAGGGAUGACCAUGUGAGGACACAGAAUGAAGCUGAUCAUCUGCAAUCCAAGUAGAUCUCAGAAGAAAUCAACCCUGCUGGAGAUACCUUGAUCUUGGACCUCUAACCUCCAAAAUGAUGAGAAAAUGAAUUUCUUUUUUUUUUUAACCCCCUUAGUCUUUGGUAUUUUGUUUGAUGGUCCUAGAAAACUAACACAUUUGGCUGAAUAAAAACUAAGAAUUUCUUUAAAAACUGUCAUCUGUACCAUUAUAAACAAAGUUGACAGGUAGUAAUGGAAUAAAAGAUAUUUAAACCAUUAAACCUGUCCAGAAAUAUGAAAUGGCAGUUCAUAGAAACUGAAAACCAAAGCACUAAAUGAUAAGAAAACGCUGAAAAUCACUAGGAGUUAAAAAAAAUGCACCUUAAAACAAGGGAGUAUGGGGGGCUGGCACUGUGGCGGUUAACACCCUGCCUUAAAGUGCUGGCAUCCCAUAUGGGCGCCGGUUCUAGUCCCGGCUGCUCCACUCCUGAUCCAGCUCUCUGCUAUGGCCUGGGAAAGCAGUGGAAGAUGGCCCAAGGCCUUGGGCCCCUGCACCCACGUGGGAGACCUGGAAGAAGCCCCUGGCCCCGGCCCCUGGCUUGGGACCAGCGCGGCUCCAGCUGAUGCGAUCAUCUGGAGAGUGAACCAUAGGAUGGAAGACCUCUCUCUCUCUCUGCCUCUCCUCUCUCUCUGUAACUCUGACUUCCAAAUAAAAAUAAAUAAAUCUUUAAAAAAAAAAAGACAAGGGACUAUCAAUCUAUGCCUAUUACAAUAGAAAAACUUAUAAGUCAGAAAAUACCAAGUGCUGUCAAGGAUGUGGGGAAACAGAAACCUUGUGUUCC